rnacentral:rRNA from 1 species
CACGGGGGGAGCAAGCGUUGUUCGGAAUUACUGGGCGUAAAGGGCGCGUAGGCGGGAUGGCAAGUCGGUCGUGAAAUCCCUCGGCUCAACUGAGGAUCGUCGAUCGAUACUGCCGUUCUUGAGGAUUGCAGAGGAGACUGGAAUUCCCGGUGUAGCGGUGAAAUGUGUAGAGAUCGGGAGGAACACCGGUGGCGAAGGCGGGUCUCUGGGCAAUUCCUGACGCUGAGGCGCGAAAGCGUGGGGAGCAAACGGG